rnacentral:rRNA from 1 species
GACGAACGCUGGCGGCGUGCCUAACACAUGCAAGUCGAGCGGGAAGUCAGAAAAUGAAGCUUCGGCAGAUUUUUCUGAUGGAGAGCGGCGGACGGGUGAGUAACGCGUGAGUAACCUGCCCAUAAGAGGGGGAUAACAACCGGAAACGGUUGCUAAUACCGCAUAUUAUGUUUUUGUCGCAUGACGUUAACAUGAAAGAUUUAUCGCUUAUGGAUGGACUCGCGUCCAAUUAGCUAGUAGGCGGGGUAACGGGCCCACCUAGGCUACGACGGGUACCCGGCCUCAGAGGGCGGACGGGCGCAUUGGGACUGAGAUACGGCCCAAACUCCUACGGGAGGCAGCAGUGGGGAAGUAUUGUCACAAUAGGGGAAACCGGUACGAUGCAGCGACGCCG